UACAACUUCACACAGUAAAGCAAACGUUUUUCAAAAUAAAAGUACUCUGGUAAAGUCAGGAAUCAUUUUUUAUGAAAUUCUGUAACUUCUGAAGUUAAAGUUGUGACUCAGUUUUGGCUACAGCUACGCCGACGACCGUUAAAAUUAGGCACCAAAAGGACUUUUAGGGAAAAAGAUAAAUAAUAAACUUUUAUCAUCCAGAAGGAAAUUCGUCUUGGGGCAAACAGUGCCGGCAACAGCUACACACAAACACAAUCAUAACUCAAAUAAUUCAGAAUGUAACAGACAACGAUGUACUUUAGGACAGAAAAAUACAAGAAGUUUAGGAACAAGAUCCCGAGGAACGAACACACGUUUCCUGGGUGAAAAUACUAAAAAUAUGAUUAUAUUAGCCCAGAUUUAGUGUAAUAUAUGAUUAUAUUAGCCCAGAUUUAGCGUAAUAUAUGAUUAUAUUAGCCCAGAUUUAGCGUAAUAUAUGAUUAUAUUAGCCCAGAUUUAGCGUAAUAUAUGAUUAUAUUAGCCCAGAUUUAGUGUAAUAUAUGAUUAUAUUAGCCCAGAUUUAGCGUAAUAUAUGAUUAUAUUAGCCCAGAUUUAGCGUAAUAUAUGAUUAUAUUAGCCCAGAUUUAGCGUAAUAUAUGAUUAUAUUAGCCCAGAUUUAGCGUAAUAUAUGAUUAUAUUAGCCCAGAUUUAGUGUAAUAUAUGAUUAUAUUAGCCCAGAUUUAGUGUAAUAUAUGAUUAUAUUAGCCCAGAUUUAGCGUAAUAUAUGAUUAUAUUAGCCCAGAUUUAGUGUAAUAUAUGAUUAUAUUAGCCCAGAUUUAGUAUAAUAAAUUAUUACAUUA